GCUUCGGUGGCGUAGUGGUCAAGACGCUCGCCUGGUAAACAGGAGGGCGUGGGUUCGAUCCCAGCCGAGGCA
rfam:Asian citrus Psyllid, Diaphorina citri - Florida Strain, whole genome shotgun sequence.